GAUGAAGAACGUAGCGAAAUGCGAUACGUAAUGUGAAUUGCAAAUUCAGUGAAUCAUCGAGUCUUUGAACGCACAUUGCGCCCCCUGGUAUUCCGGGGGGCAUGCCUGUCCGAGCGUCAUUGCUGCCCUCAAGCACGGCUUGUGUGUUGGGCCCCGUCCUCCGAUCCCGGGGGACGGGCCCGAAAGGCAGCGGCGGCACCGCGUCCGGUCCUCGAGCGUAUGGGGCUUUGUCACCCGCUCUGUAGGCACGGCCGGCGCUUGCCGAUCAACCCAAAUUUUUAUCCAGGUUGACCUCGGAUCAGGUAGGGAUACCCGCUGAACUUAAGCAUAUCAAUAAGCGGAGGA
rnacentral:misc_RNA from 1 species